CACGUAGGGCGCAAGCGUUGUCCGGAAUUAUUGGGCGUAAAGAGCUCGUAGGUGGUUUGUUACGUCUGCUGUGAAAACCUAGGGCUUAACCCUGGGCUUGCAGUGGAUACGGGCAGACUAGAGGUAGGUAGGGGAGAAUGGAAUUCCUGGUGGUAGCGGUGAAAUGCGCAGAUAUCAGGAGGAACACCGGUGGCGAAGGCGGUUCUCUGGGCCUUACCUGACACUGAGGAGCGAAAGCGUGGGGAGCGAACAGG
rnacentral:rRNA from 1 species